AGGAUUUGAUUAGGAUUUGAUUUAAGAUUAGGAUUUAAUUUAGGGUUUAAGAUUUGGUUAGAAUCUGAUUUAGGAUUUAGAUUUGGUUAAGAUUUGGUUUAGGAUUAAGGUUUGAUUUAGGAUUAGGAUUUGAUUAGGGUUUGAUUUAAGAUUAGAAUUUGGUUUAGGAUUUAGGAUUUGCUUAGGAUUUGGUUAGGAUUUGGUUAGGAUUUGGUUAGGAUUUGGUUUAGAUUUAUGGUUUGAUUAGGAUUUGAUUUAGGAUUAGGACUUGAUUAGGAUUUAGUUUAUGAUUUAGGAUUUGAUUUAAGAUUGGUUAGGAUUUGAUUUAGGAUUUAGGAUUUGGUUAGGAUUUGAUUUAGGAUUUAGAAUUUGGUGUAGGAUUUACGAUUUGAUUUAGGAUUUAGGAUUUGGUUUAGGAUUUAAGUUUUGAUUAGGAUUUGGUCAGGAUUUGAUUUAGGAUUUGGGUUUUUAUUUGAGUUAGUUUAGGAUUUAAGAUUUAAUUAGUUUUUGGCCUAAAAUUUGAAUGAAGUCUAUUAGGAUUUUAACUAGGAUUAAAUUAAGAUUGAAUUGAGAUGUAUUUGAGAUAUGUUUGUAAUCAUUCUAAUAUUUUUUUAAGAUUUCUUAUUAUUUCUUUGUAAUUCCUUUGAGGUUUCUUUGAAUUUGAUUAAAGCUUCUUUAGCCUUAUUAGUGUUCUAUUAGAAUUA
rnacentral:lncRNA from 1 species